rnacentral:rRNA from 1 species
UGGGGAAUAUUGGACAAUGGGCGCAAGCCUGAUCCAGCAAUGCCGCGUGUGUGAAGAAGGCCUGCGGGUUGUAAAGCACUUUCAGUAGAGAAGAAAAGCCUAGGGUUAAUAACCCUGAGUCUUGACGUAACCUACAGAAGAAGCACCGGCUAACUCCGUGCCAGCAGCCGCGGUAAUACGGAGGGUGCGAGCGUUAAUCGGAAUUACUGGGCGUAAAGCGCGCGUAGGCGGCUUGGUCAGUCGGAUGUGAAAUCCCCGGGCUUAACCUGGGAACUGCAUUCGAUACUGCCUGGCUAGAGUAUGGUAGAGGGAAGUGGAAUUCCGGGUGUAGCGGUGAAAUGCGUAGAUAUCCGGAGGAACACCAGUGGCGAAGGCGACUUCCUGGGCCAAUACUGACGCUGAGGUGCGAAAGCGUGGGGAGCAAACAGGAUUAGAUACCCCCGUAGUCC